rnacentral:lncRNA from 1 species
UACUGUAUACGUAUCCCUGGAACACCUCUCAAAAGCCCUGCUUGCUGGAUCAUCUAGCCUCGGUGCAUAUACCUGAAAAAGAAAAAUGGUACUAAAGCUUUGUAUUCAACAGUAAAAUUAAACAAAUUGAAGCUUGAAGUUAUACCAGUAUAGGUAUUUGUACCUGAUUUCCAUAAGCAUCACCAAAGGCUAGACUAAUUUGGUCUCUAGUUUGUGCUGGAGAAGAGCAGCUUGUCCUUAUGCUUACCGUAAAUGAACAGCGUGCAUUCUGCCCCUAGGAUAUUCAGAUUAAUUUGAAAAAUCCACACAGUUUAUUAAUCGGUGCUCCAACGAACAAUGUAAUAUUAGAGGCCUAAAGUCAAAAUCAAAUCGAGAUAUUAAACUUUCUAAAAAAUAAUAAUAUAUUAGUAGUUUAGUCUCUUUUUAGUUUCUUGAGAUGCAAAGUUGCCAAUAAUUCUUGAGAUAAGCCUUUCUUACCCCCAACUAUGGCCAAAAUUGCUUCGAUAUACUCCAACUUCACAUGGAUUUGUUAUCUCCUAAACUCAAUUUUAGUGUAUUUUUGCCAGUCCAACAUGACAAUUUUAUUAUAUAAAAAAAGAUUGAUAAAAAUAUGCUAAAAUUUAGUUCAGACCCCAUGAAGUUGAAGUGCGUUGUAGCAAAUUCGGUCGUAGUUUAGGGUACUAAUGCUUUACUCAUAAUUCUUUUAUAGAUUUCUUCUAAUUCUCCAAUUCUUUGCCUAAGUCACAACCUUAAAAGCUAGCCUAAAGGGACUAGAACUGUCCAAGCCUUAUCACCUGGGACUUGUUUUCAUUCUUCAAAAUAUUCAAUAGAUUUAAUCUUUCUAAAUUUGGGGCCUAAAACAAAUGCCAUUUUUUUAAACCUCGGCGCUGGAUUCCAAUUGUUUCUCAUAUAGCUGAAGGAAUGGAUGAACAAUGGCUGGAUAAUUAAUUAAAUAUAUAUUUUCUACUCACUUAAUAUUAUGAGAAAAAAAAAAAAUGAAUAAUGGGUACCUGGUGCAGAGUGGUGUUGAUUAUGUCGAGGGAUGAUAAAGGCUGGGGCAAGAACACGAUGGAUCUUGAUGCUUGGGCACCGCAAGUUAUGGAAGCAACGGUGAUGAUGAGAAGAAAGAGCAUUGCCGGCCGUCUGAUCAUGGUUGGUGACAUCGACAA